GACGAGCCAAAACAUUAUGACCAUCCCCACGUUUUUCAAUGAACUUCUCUGGAUGACGCAGGUGAUUGAAUUUGAAUGGUAUAUCUCGCUUACUUGCGAGUAAUGGGCUCUAAGCGAAUUUGACAGAGGGCAUAUUGUGAUUGUCGAAGAUUAGGAACGAGUAUCUCCGAAUCUGCACGACUUGGUAGGUUGUUUACGAUUAGCCAUUGUUAGUGCGUUAUGCGUAGUUGAUAAAUGAAGGCGAAACCAGCAGUAGACGUCAAUGUGUUGGAUAAAAAAAAAGGUCUUCUAAGACUUUCUCGCUUUCGACGCCAGGCAGUGGCUCAGCUUACACUUUAAUACCACAUAAUUUCAAGUACAUGUGUGUCGGAAGACACAGUUCAGCGGACAUUACUGGACGGCGCAACAGACGUCCCACUCGUCUGUCUCUGUUGAUUAAGCGUCAUUGCCAACUACGCUUACAAUAGGACCGGGAAUAACAAGAUUAGACAAUGGAUAAGUGGAAGACAGCUGCCUGUCAGGAUUUCUCAUUUAUCAUGUCGAUGCUCUAGUCAGGAUAUGCCGUCUUCCAGGCGUGCAUUCGCUGCCCCCUUCCCUGUACAGCAGGUCAUACACAGGCGGGUGGUAGUAGCGAGUAUUAUGCUUUGGGGGAUGUUCUUAGGGACGGCUCUGAGACCCUUAAUUGAUAGAACAGACCAUGAAAAACGAGGGCUCUCUGAACAUAAUUGCUGAUCAGUUGCAGCCUUACCUGUUUGGAGCUUAUGUGCGAUUAAAUUGAAUAUAUUUGCUUUAAUUAGGGUUGGCAAAGCGGAAAUGAAGACCUAUUGGCUAAUUAGCCACGAUCCAUCAUCUGGUAAGAGACGGAACGUAGCUCGCGGAAUGAUAGUUCCACCUCCGCUUUUCAAUAUACGUGAAUCAGAAAAUAGAAGACAAAGUCCCAAAACAGAAUUCUCCCAUCGGACGACUCCAGCUCAAAUCUACCGCUCUGUAGACGACGGCGUACCUUUACCUAACGACUCUGUUCCUGGAAAAUCGUAUUUCUUUGGAUAUCACAAGACAGUCCCCGCAUACCAAAACGUCUAAAUCCAUCGGCUGUCGUUGCAACACGCGACGCUUCGCAGUCAGAACCAUGGGAUGGGAAUGAAUGGGGUUUUAAUAUGGCCUCUGAUGAUUCAAACCCAGACAUCCUGGAGAGUUCAGAUGAAUGGUUUUGACUCUUCUGAAGCACCAAGAAGACUUUCUAGUAAUUACAAACCUAAUAUCAAAGUAGCAUCACUGACAGCUGCAGACGAUGCGUACAAACGUCUUAUUUAUGCAAAGAGGAAGCAGGUUGAAAACUUGAGAAAAUUUAAACAAAAAAAAAAAAAAAAAAAAAAAAAAAAAAAGUCCUUAAUGGAAGAGGUCGUGGUCUGCAGAUGAGUUUGACCUCUCAAAGGAGUCUUUGAAGGAAUGGUUAACAAACCUUUUUUACCACAAGUUUGCAUGCUCAAGUUUCUGAGCUCAAAAGACAAGAAUCAACUGUCGGGCCACUUCAGACAGUGAAAGAGAGCGAUAUAGAAGAAAGCGUAGUGUAAUAUGUUUGUACCUGUGCUAACUAAAUAUAUCUGUGAUAUAUCCGUGGCAGUUUCGGUUCGUACAUACAGUUUUAUUCGAAGUAAAUGUGUUUUUGUUAUCUAAAA